rnacentral:rRNA from 1 species
CCUACGGGCGGCAGCAGUGGGGAAUAUUGCACAAUGGGGGAAACCCUGAUGCAGCGACGCCGCGUGAGUGAAGAAGGAUUUCGGUAUGUAAAGUUCUAUCAGCAGGGAAGAAAAUGACGGUAACUGACUAAGAAGCCCCGGCUAACUACGUGCCAGCAGCCGCGGUAAUACGUAGGGGGCAAGCGUUAUGCGGAGUGACUGGGUGUAAAGUGAGCGUAGGCGGGGAUGCAAGUCAGAAGUGAAAGCCCAGGGCUCAACUCUAGGACUGCUUUUGAAACUGUAAGACUGGAGUACAGGAGAGGUAAGCGGAAUUCCUGGUGUAGCGGUGAAAUGCGUAGAUGUCAGGAGGAAUACCGGUAGCGAAGGCGGCUUACUGGACUGUAACUGACGUUGAGGCGCGAAAGCGUGGGGAGCAAACAGGAUUAGAUACCCGAGUAGUC